UAGACAAUAGUUUAUUGAAAUAUUGAUUUUGGAGAUUAUUGUUAAAGAAUUAUUCUUUUUUUCUGA
rnacentral:tRNA from 1 species